rnacentral:rRNA from 1 species
ACUCCUACGGGAGGCAGCAGUAGGGAAUCUUCCACAAUGGGCGCAAGCCUGAUGGAGCAACACCGCGUGAGUGAAGAAGGGUUUCGGCUCGUAAAGCUCUGUUGUUAAAGAAGAACACGUAUGAGAGUAACUGUUCAUACGUUGACGGUAUUUAACCAGAAAGUCAUGGCUAACUACGUGCCAGCAGCCGCGGUAAUACGUAGGUGGCAAGCGUUAUCCGGAUUUAUUGGGCGUAAAGAGAGUGCAGGCGGUUUUCUAAGUCUGAUGUGAAAGCCUUCGGCUUAACCGGAGAAGUGCAUCGGAAACUGGAUAACUUGAGUGCAGAAGAGGGUAGUGGAACUCCAUGUGUAGCGGUGGAAUGCGUAGAUAUAUGGAAGAACACCAGUGGCGAAGGCGGCUACCUGGUCUGCAACUUGACGCUGAGACUCGAAAGCAUGGGUAGCGAACAGGAUUAGAUA